GAUGAACGCUAGCGAUAGGCUUAACACAUGCAAGUCGAGGGGCAGCAUGGUCUUAGCUUGCUAAGACUGAUGGCGACCGGCGCACGGGUGCGUAACGCGUAUGCAACUUGCCUCACAGAGGGGGAUAACCCGUCGAAAGACGGACUAAUACCGCGUACACUCCACUUUGGGCAUCCAAGGAGGAGGAAAUGAACUUCGCUGUGAGAUAGGCAUGCGUCCCAUUAGCUUGUUGGUGAGGUAACGGCUCACCAAGGCGACGAUGGGUAGGGGAACUGAGAGGUUGAACCCCCACACUGGUACUGAGACACGGACCAGACUCCUACGGGAGGCAGCAGUGAGGAAUAUUGGUCAAUGGGCGAGAGCCUGAACCAGCCAAGUCGCGUGAAGGAUGACUGUCUUAUGGAUUGUAAACUUCUUUUAUACGGGAAUAACAAGAGCCACGUGUGGCUCCCUGCAUGUACCGUAUGAAUAAGCAUCGGCUAACUCCGUGCCAGCAGCCGCGGUAAUACGGAGGAUGCGAGCGUUAUCCGGAUUUAUUGGGUUUAAAGGGUGCGUAGGCGGCCUGUUAAGUCAGCUGUUAAAUCUAGGAGCUUAACUCCUAAAUUGCCAUUGAAACUGGCGGGCUUGAGUGUAGAUGAGGUAGGCGGAAUGCGUGGUGUGCGUUGGAAUGCAUAUGUAUACUCAAACUGGAAUGGCGAGGGAGCUGACUAAGGGACGAUGGAGCUAAGUGUAUUUGUGUGUAUGAUGAUGUGUAUUACUGUGUUUUUGUGUGUGCUAGUUUCUGUGUGGGGUUGUGGGUUGCUGGUCGCGUCGCUGUGGUGGUGUGCCCCCUGUGCUGGUUUUGGUCCCUUGCUGAGUGUGUAAAAUGGGACUGCUGGAUAUUUUUCA
rnacentral:rRNA from 1 species